rnacentral:lncRNA from 1 species
CACAACUCUUGCUGCAACCACUUCUCUUAGAAAAAGGAAAUUAACAACAACAACAACAACAAAAUGGUGGUGGAGACUUCCUUGGUGUUGGUGGAUAACAUAUUGAUGAAGGUGGCUAUGUUUGUGGUAGUUCAAGCUUUGGUUUAUCUCAUCCUUUCAAGUUCAUCCAAUCUCUUCUCCAAGAACAAGUUGAGGUCAUUCAACAGCUUUAGGCCGGUUCGUUCUGCUAGCAUUAACCGUCUUCUGGAUGCCAUCUCUGACUUACCAACUGGUGCUGCUGAUGAUCCGGCAUCACCAUCCUGCAGCCCUAAUCCUGCUAAAUAUAGAUGAUUAUAUAAUUCUCUUUUAUACUAUUGAUGAUGAUAUACACUUCAUUCUUUACGUAUAAGCUGUAAUAUUUGGCACAUGUAACUCUGUAAAAUAUGUCUUCUUUUGUUGUUUAAUUAAGUAUUGUUAUAUGUUAAGCAGUGCAUACUUCAAUUGGGAG